UACGAAGGAUCCUAGCGUUGUCCGGAUUUACUGGGUUUAAAGGGUGCGUAGGCGGAUAAUUAAGUCAGUGGUGAAAGCCGACAGCUCAACUGUCGAAUUGCCAUUGAAACUGAUUAUCUCGAGUAUGGUUGAGGUGGUUGGAAUGUUGCAUGUAGCGGUGAAGUGCUUAGAUAUGCAACAGAACACCUAUUGCGAAGGCAGAUCACUAAGCCAUUACUGACGCUGAGGCACGAAAGCGUGGGGAUCAAACAGG
rnacentral:rRNA from 1 species